rnacentral:lncRNA from 1 species
CUCCCGAAUAGCUGGGACCGCAUGCACCACCACACCCAGCUAAUAUGUUGUAUGUUUUUAGAGGUAGGGUUUUGCCACUUAGCCCAAGGCUGGUCUUGAACUCCGGGACUCAAGCGAUCUACCCAUCCACCUGCCUCGGCCUCCCAAAGUGCUGUGAUUAUAGACAUGAGCCACUGUGCCUGGCAAUUUUACAUAUUUUAAAUUAAAGCAAAUCUUGGUUUUUGAUGGAAUGCAGAUUUACUUAUAUUUCACUUAGUCUUUUUCCUUUCUUUCAGAAAAGUGGUGUGGAAACAAAAUGGUUUUAGUAUAUUGCCUUAUAAACAAAUUUAAGAUCAUGAGUUUCUUUUAUUAUCCUCUUUGUUUUGCUCAUUUCCUUGAACUGUACAUCCCUAACCUAAAUCAGCUGGAGACAGGGGAAGAAAGUGUUAGAUUCUUACUCAGUUUAGAUCCUCUGCCAGGAAAACCCACUCUAUUCAUUGUCAACUAAAUUAACGCUUUUUUAAAUAAAAGGAGUCAUUUUUAACAAUAACGUCAGGGCAGCAGGCAUCCAUGAAAUGUAUGGUCACUGAUCAUUAGGGUUAUCAUUCUAAUGUGUUUACUAUUUUGAAACUCUAGGGAGAAGAAAACUUAUUUUUGCAUAUGUUGGAAAAAUGUAUCCUCAUGUAGGAUAUCAGGCUUUGUUUUUCAGUUCCAUGAAAUCAGCCUGCCUUUUCUUUUUUUGGUGAUACAUCCACAUUCUGUAUAGGUGAAAAGCAAAACAAACAAGUAUAAAACGAAAAUUAUGUAAGAAGUACACACAUCCUAGCAGCUUGGCAAGUGUCUGUAUGCUCUUGCCUGUGCCUAAAUCCAGAAUUAGAAUUCAUGCUUGGUGCUCCUGUGGAAGAUGUCUAAAUGUUAUGAGAAAUACAUGAUUAAAUAAAAAUGUGAAAUGAAAGCAUGGAGACUUGUUGAAGGUGAGUGCUGUUUUUCUAAUUAUAUAUUUUAUUUGUUUAAUGAAUAAUUUGUUAAUUUUCUUUGUCAUUACGAGAGAGCUGUUUUAUUCUGUACUUAGGUGCAUAGCAUACUAUGUUUUAGUGAGCUCCACAUGUUAAUUUGAAACUUGCCAAAUUUUUACAUUAUUUUAUAAUUUAUAGUACUUUGAGAAACAUAUUGCAAUGCAUUACAAAGCAUAUAAUGUAAAGGUAGUUUUAUGAAGUGUUUUUCUCCCAAAUUAAGCAUAUUUGGGAAUUGCCCAUCAAUUUGUUUUUGAACCUCAGUGCAUAAAAUAUAGAAUUUUUCUUUCAUAUGCUAGAUGUGAAAAAUACUCAGCAUAUGCAUGUGGUUUAGGCUACAAAAUAGCCUGUAGGUUAAAUUCCUAAUUCUAGUGUUUAAUUCAUUGCCUUUUUUCUUCUUGUUUAAUGGCCAUAUGUUUAUAUCUUUAUAUUACAUACAUUCCUGAUUAUGUAAUAAGGUCUUUGAUCAUGUGGGCUAUCAGAUUUGCCUCACUUUGUCUCUUAGAAGAAGCUAUACAUGAAACUAUGUUGUACUUAAGUGAAAAUUUGAGUAUUUUUCUUGUUUGAAUUAAUGCAGUGAAACAUUCUACUUACAGUUAGCUGUCUCCCACCCUUACAGGAAGGUACAUGCCUUCAUUUUUUAAAACACUGUAUAUUUAUUAGAAUUGUUACAGAAUUUUAGUAAAUAUAUUCUAAUCACAUAUUUUCUGAUUAAUGUGUGCUUAUCAGUUUUAAAUGUUAUGAAAUCUGGAUAUAUGUUAAAAUGUCUCAGUUUUCCCCUCUUGUUUACCAUAUUGCCAUUUGGUAUUAAUAGAUAACAUAAUGUAAAAUUGGAUGUCUUUGAUAAUUUUGGGAUAUGUUCUGAAAUUAAACUUGAACUUUUUUCUGUGAAUUUUGAAGAUUUGGUAUCUUAUAAUUAUUUGGUGAGCAUUUGGCAUGAAUUAUUUAGCUUCUCCCCUGUUUAUGAUUUAUUUCUCUUGUCAUCGAUUUCCAAUAGGAAAAUGUUAUGGUUCUAAAUGUCUCCUGUAGACUUCAGUAAUUGAAAAAUGUCAGUCAAGAUGGGGGGAAUCUGUAAUAUAUAAUAGAGUUUAUCUUUUAGUUAUGUUCAUUUCCACUUUUUUUAAUGUGUUUUUUUUUUAGUAAAUGUCAAAAGUGUUACUCAGUGCAACAUAUUAUGCAAUAUUAUAAUCAACUAACCUCUUCAUUGAUAAUGACUUCAUAUUGAGAGGUUUUUUAAAUCUAGAAAUAUUCUUGUUUUAAAUUCCAGGUUAAAAUGUAAAGGUAUUUUUAUUUUUUUAAUUUUAAUUCUUCUCAAAGCUACUAGUACAUUAUAAAACAACAAUUUCACAUUUAGAAUUUUUAUAUGUAUAUAAAUUAGGAUUAUUUUUUAAUAUUAGCCUUAACUUUCUUUAACUUUUAUGAAAAACAACUAGUCCCAAGGGUAUUUUUACUAUUUAAUAUACAUUAUUCCUGUGAUUCAAAAUCUUAGCAGUAGAACCUGUUGAGCUACUUAACUUUCUGUCUUGGGACUAUCCAGGUGCAGUUAUAACUGGUUUCAAAGUUGUGACCUUUUCCUUGCUUGUUUCAAAAUCAUUCCUUAAAAAAUGUUCAGUAUUUUUCUUUUGUCAAAAAAUAAAAACAGGAUUUGUGGGUUGUUCUGUUUUUUAAAAUUAGUUUGAGAAACUUCCUUUGCCACUUGUUUUCUGUGCAAAUGUUGUAAGAGCUCAAAUUCCCUGGGGGUAGGGAGGACUUUUAUAAGGUUUUUUUGGUUGAAGGGUAUAAAAGGCACUUAAAAGGUAUACAGUUACUUUUAUUUCGAUAUCCCAGUCAUUUUGACAUUAUGAUAAGCUUUCCCCACUUUAUAGGUUAUCUGAAAAUUUGGUGGGGGGCGGGUAUUUUAUUUAUACUUAAUAUAACAAAAUUAUUUUCCUAUGUGUAGUCAAUAGCACAUACAAAAAAUUAUCUCCUGUUUGUAGUCAGUAGCACAGUCAGUAUUCACCAAAAUACUGAGUUAUUUUUCAAGUAAAGGUAUAAGUAUGAAUGAGAAACAGUUUGUGGGUUGGGUAUUGUCAGUCCUUCUUUUUCAGAUAACUUUCUAAAUGGUCAUUCAAUCUGUAAUCUUAAACUUUUUUAAUGUUAUAAAUUCUUCAAAUCAGUAUUUGUAUUAAAUGCAGUGACCAGACUAUGUCACUGAUACAAUGUCAUGAUUAGAUGUGCAGAAGACUAUGUUACAUGGAUGAUAAAUGAACUUUUAACAUAUAGAAAUUAAUAUCAGAUUAAACUAAAACAUUAAGCAAAGUUAAUACAUGCUUGCAUACAUAUAUAUAUUUAUUUAUUAAUGAUAUGUGGAGAAUCUUUGUGCUUCAUAGUCACUAGACCUAAAGUAGAAGCAGUUGUCAAGAAUGUCCAACUGCUAUUCAUCUUUGUGGCCAAAGUAAAUUUCAGAUUUUUUUUUUGUAAUGGUUUUCUUUAGUCUCUUUAUUAACCCAUCAUCAUGACAAGUCUGUCAAGUGACACAUGUGAAAAGCAGAUGUCCUUUCUUAUUCCUGGUGCUUCCUAAGGAGGCAGUGCAAUGCAGGAGAAGGAACAUUAUUAGAGAUAAAGGAAAAAACCAGAAGUGCUUUCUCCUCUCACAUUCCACUCAACACUUCUCUCACCAAAUGUGUGUGGGGAUUUCUCUCCACCAACAACCAGCAGUUCUUUACUGCAGAUUCUCCAGUGGAUACCAGCCAGGUGUCCUCUAAUUCAGUUCAAUUCUGACAUUAUCUACUGGGAGAUAGUGUCAGAUCCCGCAAGUGGAGGGCUCAGUCCUACAAGACUACCCCUUACUUCAGAUGUCAGUCACAAGCAGUUAGCGGUUUGUGAUUCUGACCAACUGGCUAGAGGUCCCCCUCCUCAAGUGUGAUUAAUUUGCUAGAGCAGCUCACAGAAUUCAGGGAAACACUUUAUUUACAUUUACCCAUUUAUUAUAAAGGAUAUUAUGAAGGAUACACAUGAACUGCCAGAAAGACAAGGAGCAUAGGCAAGAUACUGAGAAGGGUCACGGAGCUUCUGUGCCUUCUCCAGGUGCACCACCCUCUGGGAAUAGUCAGUUCAUGUGUUCAGCUGUCUCGAAGCUCAUUCGAACCCUGUCCUUCUGAGUUUCUGUGGAGGCUUCAUUACGUUAAGGUUCAGAAAUCAAUACCCCAAAAUAUGGGGCUUUGACAUGCUGAAUUAAAGAAGCAGCCUCAAGGCCUCUUGGCCUUCUCCAGCUCUCCUCACCCAAAUCCUGUCUCUCCCAAAGCACAAGAUGAGGCUGUUCACCAAAGUUCCCUUAUUUACCUAGAAACUGGACCUUAAAGAGGAACACAGUUGCCUGCGAUUCCAUCCCUGUAAUUUUAUUAACCAGAGAUUAAAACUUAUAUCACAGAGGAAGAGACUAAAAAUUAAACACCACACCUGGAGCCCAGAUGACCUGUCCCAAUCUAUUAUCUGUUCUCCAGUCCCAUUUAGUUCCCAAAGGGAAUCAUUUACAAACCAUUGUCUGAUCUUCCGGCCCAUUUAUUUACAGCUCCCCCUCUUUCCCCAAUGAAAAUGAUACUUAAGUGUCAGCCAUCUAUCGGCUCUUUGAGUUUUCACAUUUUGUAUGACUCCUGUGCACACACAUGCAUGUAAUAACUGUUAUACUUGUUAACUUUUUUUCAUUAUAGGGGUAUCCACCAUGAUUAUAUAUGAUGGGGAGGAAAGGGAUUACUCCAUUUCUGCCCCUGCAGUCUGUAGGCAUGAUUGAUUACAUCAUUGGUCGCCGGUGAUUAACUCAGUCUCCAAGCCCUGUCGUGUCCCUGGAGGUUGGAGGGUGGCACUGAAAGCUCCAACCAUCUCAUCAUGCUUUGAUCUUUCCGAUGACCAGACCCCACCCUGAAGCUAUCUACGGGUCCCCAGCAACAUUCAUUUCGUUAUCAUACAAAUGACAUUCUUACAAUUUCAGAGAUUCCAAGGGCUUUAGGAAAUGGAGAUGAAGAGCAAAUAUAUAUUUCACAAUAUCACAAACAUACCCUUGGGAAUUAGACCUCUGAUCUAAUCUAGGCUCCCUCACUUGCCAUUUUUGUGACCUUGAACAAGUUGUUCAUCUUUUCUGGAUAGUUCUCUGUUAAAAAAAUUAAAAUAAAAAAAUGGUGGCUAUCAGGUUGUUAGGAGGACUAGAUAAGAGAACUAUGUGAAGGACCCUGCACAGUGCUAGCAACAAAGUUGUUUAGUAAGUGCUAUUUCAAUUUAUUUUGCUUCCAAGCUCAUGUGAGCUCCCUCAGUGUGUACCACCAAAUCACAUGAUGUGUAUCCCAGUCAAAUCUUAAAGGUCAUCCACCUUGAAUCUUUAAGUUAAUUAACGUGUGUUUUUAAAACUGCAUUAUAAGAACGUUAGGGUUUUUGUUUUGAUCCUAUGGAAGUUAAAUUUUUUACACAAGCAUUCAACUGUUUAGCUUCAAACUGAACAGAUAAAUAGUCUGUAUUAUUUCAUUAUGUAUUAAAAAAUGAUUAAGCCUGCCUCAGGCAGUUCAGGCAAAGCAGGUAAAAGAUUAUCAAGGAGUAACAUUAGAAAACACUAAUCAGAGUGCCUAAAAAGCUUUAUGCGGUCCAGGUUGUACAGGGAUGUUGGAACAGUAAAACAAACAAAACAUUACAAGGUAUGAAGCGUUCGAGAUAGGUAGAAUAGAGCAGGUUAUAUUAGAGAAGUCUCUUCUAAAAUUGUGUUGGCUAGCCUGGGAUUUGAACUUAUACCGUGUAUGUAUGUCCAUGUGUAACAGGUUGAACAUGCAAGAAGCAGUGUUCAUAAAAGGUGGCAAACUUGUUUUACUUGUUUCUCAGUCUUUUCAGAUCAGUACUUAUAAAACACUGAUAUUUACAGUAAAUAUCUUAUAUUAAAUAUUAGCUAACCCUAUUAAAUUGUGUGUCCUUGUGCUGCAGUCAUUUAAUGACCUCAUUCUUUGGUAAGUUGGCAUGUGAUUUGAGAUAGCUCUAAGUGCUAAUGGAUUGUUUGAAGGAGUUAAAGGCAAAACCAGGAAGAGAAAACUAUUUUUAGGAAAAAGCGAUCAUACAACAGGCCUUAAAUAGAAGAAAUGAGAUAUCUCUAUCUUUACUAUGUAACCUUUAAUUCCUUACACAUUUUGACUUCAUAUUUUUUGUAUGUAAAUGAGAAUGUUAUAGUCUUGUAAAUUCCUUUUCCUCUGUGACUACAUUCAGUUAUUUAUUUUAUUGUGUGUUUGUGCAUGUCGGUAGAGCACAGUAUUUAGUAGAAUGAGUUAUUGGUUAAACCACCUGGAUUCAUUUGUAAAAUGGGGCCACCUGUCUCUUAAAUUGUAAUGAGGAUUUGAUUAGAUAAUCUAGAUAAAUCACUUAGCACAAGAGUCUCCAGCCCCCGGACUCUUGACUGGUACUGGUCUGUGGCCUGUUAGGCACUGGGCUGCACAGCAGGAGGUGAGCAGGGAGCAAGCUAGCACUAGGGCCCAAGCUCCGCCUCCUGUCGGAUCAGUGGCAGCAUUAGAUACUCAUAGGAGCACAGACCCUGUUGUGAACUGUGCGUGUGAGGGAUCUAGGUUUCGUGCUCCUUACAAGAAUCUAAUUAAUGCCCGAUGAGUUGAGGUGGAACAGUUUCUUCCCAAAACCGUCUCAGGAAACCUGUCCCUGGUGCCAAAAUUUGGGGGACCUCUGACGUAGCACACUAUCUGGCACAUACCAAGCACUCAGAAAAUAUCCCAUUUCUCAAAACUCAGUUCCAGUGUCAAGUCUUAAUAGUAUAUUGAUCUUGGAACUCCAAGGUAGUUGGUCCUCUCUUUGUGCCAUAAAUGUGCCUUGUACUCAGUAGUGCUAAAUUGCUAUCAACUAGUGCUAAAUGUACUACUAAUUCAUCUGUGUGUCCACUUCCCUUCUUAGAUUGUGAGCCCCUUGAGGACAGAGAUGGGUUUACUCAUAUUUAUAAAUUCAUUGGCAUGAUAAAUAUUUGCUGAAAGAAUAAAAUUGUAUUCUUAUGUUUUAAGCAGGGUCCCCUCCACCUCUGAGUGGAAGAUGGUCUGGGAGCAAAGGUGACAGGUCUUCUAAAAAAUCUGGCCACAUUCUCAACCCACCACACCCCCGCUUUUUUAAACAGCUAUUUAAUUGCCAUUGUAAUCCUAAGGAUUGGAUCAAUUUUUCACUUCCCUUUUUCACACUUUUUUCCUUUUACUAAGAAAAUAAAGUAAUAAAGUGACUGCCAAAUGGAGAAAACUGUCCACUAAAUAUGAAUUAAUAAGUGCUAUUAUCAGAAAUUGUGUAAAAGCAACAUAAUGGCACUAUAAAAAGGUAUUAUCUUAGAAUCAAAAACCUUGGGUUUAUAUUAUAGCCCUGCUACUUUCUAGUCAUAUGACAGUGAUCAAGCUAUAUUACCUCUUUGGCUUGACAAAAUAGGGGUCAUCUCUAUUUCUGGCUUGUUAUGAUUGAUGUGAAAUAUUCAUACAAACUACCACUGUGCCUGGUAAGUAGAAGACACUCAAAUAUGUCUUGGAGUUACAGUUAAUACUGUAUCGUUUAAAUUUGAGAAAAACCAACUUUAAAAAAUCACAUAGAUACAGUUGUUUACUGCUAGAAAUUUUAUUUAAAUUAGUUGAUACUCUUGGUUAGGUAAUGAAAAACAAUGGUUUUAUCUCCAUUAUGCUGUGAUAGGGAAGAGUAACACAGUUCAAAUGGCAAAGGCAUACCUGACAAUUAAAAUGCAUAGUUAAAGGCUAAUACUUCCUGAACACAAGAAGACAAGUCUCUACUUGAUACUACUCUCCACAGUUAAAUCAUUGAUACUUUGUGCCAUACAGUGAAAACAGAACCAUCUAGGUGUUCACGGAUUGUAUUUUUCCUUAUGAAAGGUAGAAGGUUAGAGAAAAUUAUUCCCAAUACAAUUAAUACAAAUAAAAUUGGUUAUUAGGUGCCUUUUAAUUAGGCAGUAAGGGCAUAUGAAGCUUCAUUACCUAUGAGAAUUUUGUCAAAAUUAUUUCCCAGUUACCAUGUUUUAAAACAGCCUCUCAGAAUUCCCCACUUCUAAUUUCUCCUUUCUAUUCUACCAAUUUUACUCCAUACCUUUUUGCUAAAUAAACAUUUUCUUCCAACUCUGA